GUGUUGUAUGAAAGGAGAGAAGGUUAGCACUCCCCUUCACAAGGACGGAAGACGCCGUAAGGCGUUUAUAACACACAAAUGGUUAAGGCAAUGCCAUUACUUUGUGGCAUCUAACCAAGUUUUUUC